rnacentral:misc_RNA from 1 species
GGAAGGAUCAUUCCAAUAAAUUCAAAAACCAAAUCCGGCUGGUGUGUCCCUACUCUUAAAUUUUGAUAUUCCGAUUUACUUAAUACUUUCAAUGAUGGAUGUCUCGGGUCUCUUUACGAAGAAGGGCGCAGCAAAGUGCGAAAAGCAGUAUGAUACGCAAAUCAUAUGAGUCAUUAGUUACCUGAACGCAGAUGGCAGUUGUUUGGUUCUCCAACGACUAUGUUUGGUUUAGUGUAAAGAUCUAUUUCUCUUCAUUGAGGUUUUUGAUGGCCCCUCGUGCGAUCACAAAGUUGCUUCAGACUCCUAGAACAAGGAAAGGGAAAGUCCGACACUUGUUGAGGAUUACAGUCAUGAAUAUUCAAUCGAUUUUACCUGAAGUCAAGCAAGGUUACCCGCUGAAUUUAAGCAUAUAACUAAGCGGAGGAAAAGAAACUAACAAGGAUUCCUUCAGUAGUGGCGAACGAAGCAGGAAGAGCUCAGUCCGAAAUCCGUCAGUGUCUCACUGACGGGAUGGAGUUUUGUUGUAGGACCAGUGCAUAGUCAGAUUCGAGCCUCGUGGAUGCGAGUGUCAGAGAGGGUGAGGACCCCGUCCUUAUUCUGAAGCUAUGGACGUACGGCCUUCAACAUAUGAGUCGCAUCCCUUGGGAGUGGGGUGCUAAUUGGUGGUAGCUUUUACCGAAAGCUAGAUACAAAAGAGAUACCGAUAGCAUAGAAGUACCGUGAGGGAAAGAUGAAAAGAGCCUCGAAAGGGGAAUUAAAAUGGCCUGAAACCAUUGAAAGGGAAGUGAUUGAAGCUUUACUUGCUUUGUCAAAAUGUUCCUGAUUGUUUCUUUCUGAUGCGUGAGCUCAGUUGGAAGAUCUAUAAGGUGCUGCUUGACAUGCAAAACAGCUGGGCCUCUGUUCCUUUCUUCCUCAAGUUGUUGUACAAGAUUUUAUCUUGAGACUUGGUGUUGGACUUGAACAGGGGUGAGUGAUGCAGCUUUUGUAAGGGGCUUCAAACAACCCGUCUUGAAACACGGACCAAGGAGUCUAACAUGCCUGCGAGUUCUGUGAUUGAAACUCUCAGAGCGAAAUGAAAGUGAUAGUUUGAAUCGCUGAAAACACGACCAACUUCUUAAGAGGUUUGCGUACGAGCAUAUGGGUUCGGACCCGAAAGAUGGUGAACUAUUCCUGAGUAGGGUGAAGCCAGGGGAAACCCUGGUGGUGGCUCGUAGCGAUACUGACGUGCAAAUCGUUCGUCAAACUUGGGUAUAGGGGCGAAAGACUAAUCGAACCAUCUAGUAGCUGGUUCCCUC